CUCCCGAGAGAACAAAAAAGGAAGUAAAUAAACAAAAGGAAAACUUCCACCCGGACGCGUCGAAGACACUCUCCCCACAGCCACAUCUCCUCUGCCCCCUCCCGCGACCUAGGGUUAGCCGCCGACGAUGACGACUUUGUCGGUGAGCUCCGGCAGCCAUGGCCGGCGUGCAGGACGUUGCUGAGCUCACGUAGCCAUGCUGCGUUGAUCCCUCUGCCCAGAUCCGUCCAUCACUGCCUACAAUACGCGUGCCCAAUCCACCCCCGCGGUUAGGGUUUGGGGUGCGACCACGUCUCCGCCACCUGCGUGCCUCUGGCGAGCUCCGACGGCCAUGGCCGGCACGCAGGAUGCUGCCGAGGUCACCUCGUCGUGCUGCGUUGAUCCAUCCAAGUAGAUCCGUCCCUCCAUGCCUCCAACACUCGCGCCCAAUCCAUCUGUGAUUAGGGUUUGGGGGCACGGCCUCGUCUCCGCCACUGGCGGUCUUCUACGUCGCUUGAUUUGGGAAGAAAAUUUCAUUUUCCCUUGUAUAAUUUCUGAUCUGAAUGGUUUGUUUUUAGGGGCAUCAGUUUGGUCCAUUCUGUGACCAAAGAAAAUGAGUAGAAGGGGAUGAGGAAGGAGUAGAAGGUGUAGAAGAACGAGAAAGACGAGAAACAGGCAAGGGAGGUGGGGCGAUCUGCAUGCCUAUGGAGAUCUGAAUGUUUCUUGUUUAAUCCUUUUUUAUGUUGCAUGCUCUCUGAAUUUAGAGUAGAUUGCUUUACAGCAUGUUGAAUAGAUUUGGGCCUGUUCAUUUUUCUAUGGUGACUAGGGUUUGACCAGAGAAAAGAGGAACGCUUUCUUAGAAAGAAAAUCUAUGGUGCAACCGUCGUCCAGGUCCAUCAAAUCAGCAGCAGCUUGGGUCUGUCAUCUCUCUCUGCUCAUCCUAUGUUGUGGUACAAAAGAAAUUCAGACUCAACACUUGUAGUAGGAGGUCUGAAGGUGCGCCUCAUGUUUAGCUAAAAAUAUUUAAGUGUGCAAUAUGCAUUAUUAGUGGAGGUAAAGCAUUGCUAACCAUGUGCAAUUACACAACUAUGAAUUCUCCUCUAGACACGUGAUUGAAAACCUACCAGCAUAGUAUAUUAUUCCAUGUCAAUCGGUAUUUGUCACCGACCACAUUAUUCACUUCAGUUCUGCAUGGUCAUGCACAAACAUACAUAAUAUAUUUCUGUAUAUGAACUGAACUUGUGCUUAGGUACAAAUUCAGAAAUCAACACUUGUAGUAGCACCAGGUCUGAAGGCGCAGCUCAUGUUUUUUGCUUAAAUAGUCAAGUGUGUGAUAUAUUAUUAGCUAUGCACAAAACGUCUUUUAAUAGUGUAAAGAGGGUGUAUAUGUUAUAUUACCAGUAGGUCAAUGUUUUUCUCCCCCUCCCCUGUUUUGUUCGAUUUGGUAUCCCUGAUGCAUAAGCGAUCAUGGCUUGGUUCCCUGAUGCACGAUCAUGGCUUGGUUCCCUCAUGCACUUUCUGAUGCGCGCAGGUGGCGGUGCAGGACACAGCCACCUUGUGAUUCUUCUUCCACUUUGAUGAAUCCGGUCGUUCUUCUUCCUCUCCGGCAUAUCUGGAGAGCAUAUCUACAGAAGAGAAAAAACUCGAUGGAAAUCAUGGUCAUUACAGGCCCAACGAACUUGUUACGCUCCAGGGGCACCAAGAGUUGGUUGUGUGGAAAGCUUGUUUUUUGCGUCUGUUCAUUUUUCUAAGAAAGGGUUCCUCUUUUCUCUUUACAACAGAUAAAAAUUGGUGACUUGCUUUCUAAGGAAGCGUUCCUUUUACUAUUCAUUUCACCACAGAUUUGGUAACACUUUUAGGCUGGUGCCAUUGAACAAGCUAUUAACUUUAUCCUAUACUUAGGAGGUGUUGCAUACUCUAUUUGGAGGAGUCUGAAGAAAAUGGUUGAUCUUGCUGCACAACCCAUCAUAUAAAUGAUGGAGACAUGGAGUAGGAGGACGAGCAGCAGUUGUAAA